GACUGUUCAAGCAAAUGUUGAGAAAGAAAUCCUAUCUAGAUUAGCAAUUAAGCUGCUGAUUUGUACCUGCAAAUUACCUUACACCUAUGUACUCUAUCACGUACAUAGAAACCAGGCACUACCAUGAUCUUAACCUUACUUGUACCUUGUGAUUUUUGCCUAUCUCCAAAUAUGUCCUCCAUAUAAUUCUUAUCAAAACUUGUAUU
rnacentral:misc_RNA from 1 species